rnacentral:rRNA from 1 species
CCUACGGGAGGCAGCAGUGGGGAAUUUUGGACAAUGGACGCAAGUCUGAUCCAGCCAUGCCGCGUGCGGGAAGAAGGCCUUCGGGUUGUAAACCGCUUUUGUCAGGGAAGAAACGGGUUUCUCUAAUACAGAGACCUAAUGACUGUACCUGAAGAAUAAGCACCGGCUAACUACGUGCCAGCAGCCGCGGUAAUACGUAGGGUGCAAGCGUUAAUCGGAAUUACUGGGCGUAAAGCGUGCGCAGGCGGUUAUGCAAGACAGAGGUGAAAUCCCCGGGCUCAACCUGGGAACUGCCUUUGUGACUGCAUAGCUAGAGUACGGUAGAGGGGGAUGGAAUUCCGCGUGUAGCAGUGAAAUGCGUAGAUAUGCGGAGGAACACCGAUGGCGAAGGCAAUCCCCUGGACCUGUACUGACGCUCAUGCACGAAAGCGUGGGGAGCAAACAGGAUUAGAUACCCUGGUAGUCCACGCCCUAAACGAUGUCAACUGGUUGUUGGGAGGGUUUCUUCUCAGUAACGAAGCUAACGCGUGAAGUUGACCGCCUGGGGGNGGUACGGCCGCGAGUAGAACGACAAUAGAGUAGUACGGCGUGAGACGUGCCGACGGACGACGACGAGGGAGGUUAGGG